AGUAACUAAGAUACUAAGAUUAGAUCAAGCGCCUCGAGAUCACUUUAUCCAACAAAAAUGACCUUUAAGCGUCAUAUUGAUAAUUCCCGUGCGGUGGAAACAAGGAAUUUCGAACUGUAUAUUCGGGCAUCGUAUAUUCGGGCACGUCUCAGAAUUGCUUCAAACGGCAUCGUGAUCGGAUCAGAACGUGUUAUCUUCUUUCAAGCUAGAAGAAAUAUAUAUGAGCUUUGUACAUGUACAUAUAAAAACGUCCCUUUACUGUGUUAAUUUCUUCAACAGAAAAGCGACUAAAAGUUUGAGGCUUAUUAGUGACGCAUAUAUUUUAUAUAAAAAUGAUUCUUCAAAACUUGUACGAUGUACGACAAACUAUGAUCCACCUACAUACAUUUAGCCGCAGCUUGUUACGUAUGAUUAGAAGUAUAGAAAUGGGAGAGGAUUUACAAUAUAAUUACGUUAUAUUCGGUAUACCGACUCAAAUUUUUAUUACGCUUAUACGAGGUCGUUAUAUAGAUGUUGAAAAGCUUAAAAAUUUACUGAUACGGUUAAUACAAAAAGUUAGUGCAUUGCAGACAAAACUCAAUCAGCUGAAUGAUGGAUGAGAAAAAGAAGACAAAUAGGAAGGAUUCUGACAAAUGAACAAAGAAAUAUGGAAUGAAUAAUUCGUAAAAAUAUAUAUAUCCUAAAUAAAUUGUAAAUUAAAUAUGUAAAGUCGAUAUAUUACGUUACAUUAAUUCUAACGCGAUAUGUGUGUUACAUGAUCAAACUCUAUGCCGUACUUUAUGUUCAUCAAUAAAAUUUCGAUUCAACAGA